rnacentral:tmRNA from 1 species
GGGGGUGCUGGGGUUCGACAGAUACGUGAGGGGUAGUGUUGCAGGUAGAGGACGGCAGUUGGCCUCUCAAAUCAUCUGCCAAAAAAAACAAGCCAACACAAAUUACGCUCUAGCUGCCUAAGCGCGGCUAGCGUCUUGGCGAGUCGUCCAUCCCUGGGCUCGUCCGGGCGUGUGCAUAGGGGUCUCGAUGGCGAGGGUCGUCCCCGUUCCUUGCUUGAGAGUAGCAAACGGGGAAUCGCGCAACGCUGGGCGUCGCCUCCCGGCCGCGGGCUAAACCCAAUAGACGACUAAACCUGUAGUAACACUGCUUUUGGCGUAUUUGGACGCGAGUUCAACUCUCGCCACCUCCACCA